GAAAAAACUAUAACAAGGACACGGUAAAUAAUUAAGUAUCUUAAAGAGAGCCAAAGGUUGGUGCGAUUUGGUAAGUAAAAAUUAUUUAUUAUCACCUUAGUUUGUUACUAGUUGAAAAGAUAAAGUAAGCUAGUCGUAUACCUGCGUUAAAGGGAAAAGAGAGAGUGGAUUGUAUUGUAAAAAAUAUAUAUUUACUAACUUAGGUGGUACCGCGGAAUAGAAAAAUCUUUUCGUCCUAAUA
rnacentral:ncRNA from 1 species